rnacentral:rRNA from 1 species
UUUUGUUUUUAACUGAAAGCUGAGCGCUGAAAGCGAAGGGCUAAGGAGCUGACAGCUGAGAGCUAUCAGCUAACUUAGUGGCGGACGGGUGAGUAACACGUAGGUAACCAACCCUCAAGCGGGGGACAACUCUUCGAAAGGAGAGCUAAUACCGCAUAAGCUCACGGACUGGGAUGUCUGUGAGAAAAGGAGCAAUUCACUUGAGGAUGGGCCUGCGGCCUAUCAGGUAGUUGGCGGGGUAACGGCCCACCAAGCCUAAGACGGGUAGCCGGACUGAGAGGUUGAACGGCCACACUGGAACUGAGACACGGUCCAGACUCCUACGGGAGGCAGCAGUGGGGAAUUUUGCGCAAUGGGGGAAACCCUGACGCAGCGACGCCGCGUGGAGGAUGAAGGUCUUCGGAUUGUAAACUCCUUUUGUCGGGGAAGAUAAUGACGGUACCCGGCGAAUAAGCCACGGCUAACUCUGUG